rnacentral:lncRNA from 1 species
GGCAAAUUAGCGAAGAUCAAAGGUGUUUAUAAACCAGGCAAAUCACAGGAAAUUUCCAUCAAUAUUUAAGGAUGGCGUAUCGGCUUGUCUUACUGAGGGAGAGGGGCGGGGAGAGUGAGGAGAGUGAGAUGGAAUAGAAAAGGGAUUCUCUAAAUGUGGUUUCAGCCUUUUUAUAAUAUGUUGAAUAUUUUAUCACAGCUGCAAUUAAACAGCUAUAAUUUUCAUCUCGACUGAAGUACAGGGUCAUAUUCUCUCCUCCUCUCCUCUCCCCUCCUCUCCUCUCCUCUCUCUCCUCCCCUCUCUCUCCUCCUCUCCUCUCAUCUCUCCCCUCCUCUAUCUCCUCCUCUCCUCUCUCUCCUCUCUCUCCUCCUCUCCUCUCAUCUCUCCCCUCCUCUCCCCUCCUCUAUCUCCUCCUCUAUCUCCUCCUCUCUCCUCUCCUCUCUCUCCUCCCCUCUCUCUCCUCCUCUCCUCUCCCCUCCUCUAUCUCCUCCUCUCCUCUCCUCUCUCUCCUCCCUCUCUCCUCCUCUCCUCUCCUCUCCCCUCCUCUAUCUCCUCCUCUCCUCUCCUCUCCUCUCUCUCCUCCUCUCCUCUCCUCCCCUCUCUCUCCUCCUCUCCUCUCCUCUCCCCUCCUCUAUCUCCUCCUCUCCUCUCUCUCCUCCCCUCUCUCUCAUCCUCUCCUCUCCUCUCAUCUCCUCUCCUCCUCUAUCUCCUCCUCUAUCUCCUCCUCUCCUCUCCUCUCCUCUCUCUCCUCCUCUCCUCUCAAUCUCUCCCCUCCUCUCCCCUCCUCUAUCUCCUCCUCUAUCUCCUCCUCAUCCUCUCCUCUCCUCUCUCUCCUCCCUCUCCUCUCUCUCCUCCUCUCCUCUCCCCUCCUCUCCUCUCCCUCCUCUAUCUCCUCCUCUCCUCUCUCCUCCCUCUCUCUCCCCUCUCUCUCCUCCCUCCUCUCCUCUCCCCUCCUCUUCUCCUCCUCUCCCUCCUCUCCUCUCUCUCCUCCUCUCCUCUCCUCCCCUCUCUCUCCUCCUCUCCUCUCCCCUCCCCUCCUCUCAUCUCCUCCUCUCCUCUCUCUCCUCCCUCUCUCUCAUCCUCUCCUCUUCUCUCAUCUCCUCUCCUCUCCUCUCUCCCUCCUCUCCCUCCUCUAUCUCAUCCCUCCUCUCCUCUCUCUCCUCCCUCUCUCUCUCAUCCUCUCCUCACCUCUCCUCUCCUCUCCCCUCCUCUCUCUCCUCCUCCUCCCCCCUUAUCUCCCCUUAUCUCCCCCUCCUCUCUCCUCCUCUCCCCUCCUCUCACCUCUCCUCUCCCCUCCUCUCACCUCUUCUCUCCCCUCCUCUAUCUCCUCCUCUCUCCUCCUCUCUCUCCUCCCUCUCUCUCAUCCUCUCCUCUCCUCUCUCCAUCCUCUCUCUCCUCCUCUCCUCUCCUCCUAUCUCUCCUCCUCUCCUCUCCUCUCCUCCUAUCUCUCCUCCUCCUCUAUCUCCUCUCCUCUCCUCUCCUCUCCUCUCCUCUCCCUCCUCUCUCUCCUCCUCUCUCCUCCUCUUCCCUCCUCUCACCUCUCUCCUCUCCCCUCCUCUCACCUCUCCUCUCCCUCCUCUCCUCUCCCCUCCUCUCACCUCUCCUCUCCCCUCCUCUCCUCUCCCCUCCUCUCACCUCUCCUCUCCCCUCCUCUCAC